CCACAGAAUGUGGGUUAACUUGCAGGACAACAACUACCGGUACUGUUAGUCGCUAGGUGGGACUCGCUGAGAUAAACAACUAGAGGAAAGGUUAGCUUGCGCAACGGGGACUUUAAAGGUAACCUGGAAGUGAUAUCGUGAAAUAAGUUAUAUAAUGCAACUUGUUGAGAUUCGAGAAUACAUAUCGGCAACAAUAUCAAGACUUACCUUGCCCUGACAGCAUUGAACUCGCCGGUAGUUUUUCCAAAGACAAGUUGCUGUAAUGAUAAAUGAACAAGUCCCCACAGCACCAGAAUAAAUACAGUCACCAGUGCGACUCCGACGCCUUCGUGUAGCAGUUUUAUAAUUGGAAUAUGAUACAAAACGAGGCAACGGUAUGCUUUAGGACCAUGUGGACGCCUCCAACUGGUUGGUUUAUGCCUGCCCAUACCAUAACCCCACUGCCACCAUGGGGC
rnacentral:lncRNA from 1 species